GAGGGUAUAGCUCAGUAGUAGAGUGUGUGCUUAGCAUGCACGAGGUCCUGGGUUCAAUCCCCGAUAACUCCG
rfam:Camelus ferus unplaced genomic scaffold scaffold434, whole genome shotgun sequence.